GAUCCUGGCUUAGGAUGAACGCUAGCGACAGGCUUAACACAUGCAAGUCGAGGGGCAGCACGGGAGUAGCAAUACAACUGGUGGCGACCGGCGCACGGGUGAGUAACGCGUAUGCAACCUACCUAUCAGAGGGGAAUAACCCGGCGAAAGUCGGACUAAUACCGCAUAAAACAGGGGCACCGCAUGGUGAUAUUUGUUAAAGAAAUUCGCUGAUAGAUGGGCAUGCGUUCCAUUAGGUAGUUGGUGAGGUAACGGCUCACCAAGCCGACGAUGGAUAGGGGAACUGAGAGGUUGGUCCCCACACUGGUACUGAGACACGGACCAGACUCCUACGGGAGGCAGCAGUGAGGAAUAUUGGUCAAUGGGCGGGAGCCUGAACCAGCCAAGUCGCGUGAAGGAAGAAGGAUCUAUGGUUCGUAAACUUCUUUUGCAGGGGAAUAAAGUGCAGGACGUGUCCUGUUUUGUAUGUACCCUGAGAAUAAGGAUCGGCUAACUCCGUGCCAGCCGCCGC
rnacentral:rRNA from 1 species